UUGUGAUAUAGGGGGAUAGUUCAUUCUGAGGAUUGUUCAGAGUGGUUAGCAGAUUGCAGAAGAGGGGAUUCUUGCUGCAUUUCUUGCUGUGGUUAUUGCCUAUAUUUUGGUUUUGGGUUAGAGAGGAGAUUUAUAUUUUUGUCGUGGAGGUCUUCUAUAAAUUCCUUGUUGUAAAAACCGCAACCACUAUAGUGCAUUUGCUUCCUGGGUUGGAAGGACACUGGAUGUAGGCAUUGUUGGCCGAACU
rnacentral:lncRNA from 1 species